rnacentral:rRNA from 1 species
GACGAACGCUGGCGGCGUGCUUAACACAUGCAAGUCGAACGGUGAAGCGCCUUCCUUUUUGGUGGGUGUGGAUGAGUGGCGAACGGGUGAGUAACACGUGAGUAACCUGCCCCCUUCUUCUGGAUAACCGCAUGAAAGUGUGGCUAAUACGGGAUAUUCUGGGUCUGUCGCAUGAUGGGUCUGGGAAAGAUAUUGUUUCGGUGGGGGAUGGGCUCGCGGCCUAUCAGCUUGUUGGUGGGGUGAUGGCCUACCGAGGCGGUGACGGGUAGCCGGCCUGAGAGGGUGAACGGUCACACUGGGACUGAGACACGGAGCAGACUCCUACGGGAGGCAGCAGUGGGGAAUAUUGCACAAUGGGCGCAAGCCUGAUGCAGCGACGCCGCGUGAGGGAUGGAGGCCUUCGGGUUGUGAACCUCUUUCGCCAGUGAAGCAGGCCUGCCUCGUUUGUGGGUGGGUUGACGGUAGCUGGAUAAGAAGCGCCGGCUAACUACGUG